rnacentral:rRNA from 1 species
AUUAAACUGGAGAGUUUGAUCCUGGCUCAGAUUGAACGCUGGCGGCAGGCCUAACACAUGCAAGUCGAGCGGAAACGACAUCUUCGGAUGGGCGUCGAGCGGCGGACGGGUGAGUAAUGC